GGGAAUUUAAAAUAGCAUAACUGUCAAAAUUACUGCACACGCGAGUGCAUAAAGCAAAAUUUAUGCAUUUAUUAUUAAAUAAAUGCAUAAAUUUUGCUUUAUGCACUCGCGUGUGCAGUAAUUUUGACAGUUAUGAUCUAUUAGCAAUUCGAUUUCAAUUCCCAGGGGCCUAAAAUCUUUUAUGC